UACGUAGGGGCCGAGCGUUGUCCGGAGUUACUGGGCGUAAAGCGCGCGCAGGCGGCUGGUCAAGCCCGACGUGAAAGCCCCCGGCUCAACCGGGGAGGGUCGUCGGGGACUGGCCGGCUUGAGGGCGGCAGGGGCUGGUGGAAUUCCCGGUGUAGUGGUGAAAUGCGUAGAGAUCGGGAGGAACACCCGUGGCGAAGGCGGCCAGCUGGGCCGACCCUGACGCUGAGGCGCGAAGGCGUGGGGAGCGAACGGG
rnacentral:rRNA from 1 species